AAUACCCAUACUGAACGGAUUUAUUCUAUCCUAGCUAAUUGAUUCUAUUCCUAUUCUCAAGAAUCUCAACUAAUGGUCCCUGAACACUCCCUUUAUUUAACUAAUACUUAUUGUGAAGUUUUCCGUAGGUUAGGGAAGGGGGAGAACAUGAAGUAAAAGAUUAAAUCACUGCAUCAUGGUUGCUUUUUCACUGAUAAGAGCCAUGUUGGCAAAACUGCAAAGAACCUACGGAGUUGCUUGUGCUUACAUUACUCCAUUGAGUGGUGGUUGAGUAUUCAGACAGUUGGCAGGGUUAUGAGAACAUGUUAAUUUUGGUUACAUAAAAGUGGUAUGCCAAGAUCAGUCCCAAGAAACACUAUACUCUAGUCAACAUGUUAUUUUUAGCUUUUACAACACAUCAAGACCAAUAAAAUCACAGUUGUCAUACUGCCAUUUAAGGUAUGAUUGCUUAAACUUUAAGAAUCGUUUCUAUGUUUUUUUUAGUGUUGCUAACAUAAAAGUUAUAGAACAAGUGUUUAAGGUUGAAAAAUCCACAAAUCUAAGCUUUUCAAAGUCAGUAACAAUUUCUUUAACUGUAUUCCUGAUUUAUGUUUGUAGGAGCAAACAACAGGUAGAGGUAACAAUUGAGGUACAAAUAAAUAGGAUGUAACACGUAAGAGCAGAAGACAAGUUGCAACAAAGUCAAAUUCAAUAAACAUGACAGUUGAAGCGACUAGGAGCAUCAGAGUGAAUAGUAGAAGGGAUGAAGAAGGAAGCAGAGAAAGAUAGAAGAGUAGAGAAAACUGAGCAAAUUCAGAAGAUGAUGAUGACCAGUCUUAUGAUAAAAUUAUGACUCCUUCCAUCCCAAUUAGUUGUCAUCUUUUGCUUCUCGAGAGUCAAAUUAUAUGAACUUUGAUUAAUAUUCUAAAAUAUAUCUUUUCAUCUUGACAUGAAAAAAGUUCCAACUUGUAGUGCUUU